CAGGCAGGGCAGCUGGAAGACCGGCGAGAAGGAGAACGGUUCCUCUGAGGAGGAGAAAAAGCUGGAGGAGAAAGUGGAGGAGAACAGCCAAAAAGCUGAGGUGUAAAGAAAGAGCAAGCAUCCUGUGGGAAUGUGAAAGUGAGAACGUGGAACUUUUGCACAUUUCUCUUCACCUCUGUCUUUGGAAGAAAAAAAGAAAAGAAAAACACAUGUACAUUGAUAUGAAGAUGGUUUGGAUUUGGUUUCAGGGAGAAUUUUACUCAACAGCAUAUCCAAACACCACCACCCCCCCUCCCCUUCAGAGCCCCCAUGACCUCUCACCCCUCCAUUCCCUUAAGAAAAAAAAAAAAGAAAAGAAAUGAAUGGAAACUGUAUGUGAUUAUACAUAACUCGUCUGCACUACUGAUACAUGUGUAAACUCGUCUAUUAGGAUUCAUGUUUGUUAGAAUGGAACUUUUGGGAAACUGAGAAGAUUUGAAUCUUUUUUUGGUUUUGUUAGUCAAUGCAAGUAAAAUGACUUCUAGACCAGUUGCCUUUUGUUGUUGAGGACGUGUAGGCCUGAUUUAGUCCACGUUUGACUCUUUCGGCCCUCAGAGACAUAGUCGGGCCCGAGGGGACGUCAUUGCCACCGCUUCUUUGUUUUACGUCAUCGAAGUCAAACGAAGUCGAAGUCUGCCUUUAAAUAAAUCUGUUCAUUCAUUAUAAGCCAGGCGUUAAUAAGGUCACGAAAAUUUGAGAUAAGACUCCUGAAAGGGCUAAGGGUAUAUUGUUAUACUCGGCAUUAGGAAUAGAUGGUAAUCUGAUUUACAUGCAGGAAGUAGGUGAUGUGAGUUCUUUGGUGUUACAUGAUUUUCUUGUUAUUUGAUUGUGUGUACCUUCAUGGAAAGUAACCACGAGAGAAAAAUGACGCAAUGUCAUUCUUGCCCGUCUCUUUUUUUUGUUUUUUCAAUCCAUUGUACAUUCAACAUAGCCACUGUAAUUACACAAGCAGGUAGAUUAUUGAGAGAAUGUAUGAGCUUAAUUAAACCCACUGGCUUUAGUUUGAAUGCACAGAUUCUUUUACAUAAAGUGUUUUUUUUGUUUUCUGAUUCCCAGGGGAAUGUCCUCAAGCCUGUAGUCAUGACCGGAUAUUGUAGUUUUAUCCAUCAAGGUUGUAAAUUAAUUCUUAAUUUGUGCUCCUUCAGUGUUGAAAGAAUGCCUGUUCAUUAUUCAGCUAUGGCAUAAUUUUAUAAUCGAGGACACAGAUUGGACAGGAUGUUCGUCUCAAAGUGGCCGUUAUGGUAUGUUAGCCUUCUUUUGAAAAUCUACCUGUUGUUGCUUCGGUUUGUGACGUGCACUAGGGUUCAUGUUUUCAUGUUCAAAUUUGUGUAGAAUACCAUGGAAUACACGCAGCUGUACAUGUCACAUGUUUUUGGUCUUUAAACAGCAUUUACUAAAUCUGAAAAUGUACUGAGGCCAGGAUAUAAUUGUGAAGUAUGUGCUUUUACAUUUCUUUUUGCUAUUUAUAUUGAACUAAUUUGAAUAUCCUGGUAGGCAAAUUCAGUAUUUGUCACAUAACUCACAUCUUGGAUUGAUGAAUUGCUUGCAGACUCUACAAAAUGUAAUUAAGUUCUGAGUCACCAGAAGGUUGCUCAGUGUCCGGUUUAAUAAUAGAUUCAGAUUCAGCAUGUUCUGAUCUCAGACCUCAGCGGUGCUGUUUGUUGCCUACCUUGUGUAAAACCAUCAAAUUGGAAGACUGACCAAAGAAAGUGAACAUUGCCAUGCAAGUACUGUAAAUAUCUGAUGUUUGUUUUUGUACUUUUGUUUAAAAUAAAAUGUACAUUCGGAAAAGUUA